UGUUCUUUGGCUUAGUUGGUUAAAGCACCGGACUAGCGAUGUGGAGUCGUGGGUUCGAAUCCCAGAAAAAAAG
rnacentral:tRNA from 1 species